GUCUGCUUCUCUAGGGAGGCGCCUCUGUUUGCUCCGCUUCUGUCUGGUGUUCUCCUGAGACAUUCUGAUCUAUAUUUAGAUGACAAUGAGCCCUUACUGAUACUUUGCAGAAACUGAGGGGGCUGUUAUUCAUACCUGCUCUCUGCAAACAUCAGAAGUCGCUUGAGGAGACUGUGAACAGAUUAUUCAGGCACCCUCCCGAGCUCGUCCCCUUCCACUUCCUCGAGAAUGAGAAGAUCCAGAGGAGUUUUACAUGCACUCUCAGGCUGGAGAAAGGAUAAUUUCUGCUAGCCUCUACAUCGAUUUCCUGAGUUACCUCAAAUGCACUCACGUUUUCACUAGGAAACUACAAUGAUCUAUAAUGCAGGUGACUUAUGGGCCCAUGACUCCAUUCUCUUAGUCAAAAAUCAACAGAGGCACCAGUUCAUUUCUGAAGAAGAAAGACUGUCGGCUCUAUCUGAACCUAUUCAAAUGUAAUCACUUACUUGCAGGUCGAUCAG
rnacentral:lncRNA from 1 species